GCUCUACAUGCAGUCGAACGCACAGCGAAAGGUGCUUGCACCUUUCAAGUGAGUGGCGAACGGGUGAGUAACACGUGGACAACCUGCCUCAAGGCUGGGGAUAACAUUUGGAAACAGAUGCUAAUACCGAAUAAAACUUAGUGUCGCAUGACACAAAGUUAAAAGGCGCUUCGGCGUCACCUAGAGAUGGAUCCGCGGUGCAUUAGUUAGUUGGUGGGGUAAAGGCCUACCAAGACAAUGAUGCAUAGCCGAGUUGAGAGACUGAUCGGCCACAUUGGGACUGAGACACGGCCCAAACUCCUACGGGAGGCUGCAGUAGGGAAUCUUCCACAAUGGGCGAAAGCCUGAUGGAGCAACGCCGCGUGUGUGAUGAAGGCUUUCGGGUCGUAAAGCACUGUUGUAUGGGAAGAACAGCUAGAAUAGGAAAUGAUUUUAGUUUGACGGUACCAUACCAGAAAGGGACGGCUAAAUACGUGCCAGCAGCCGCGGUAAUACGUAUGUCCCGAGCGUUAUCCGGAUUUAUUGGGCGUAAAGCGAGCGCAGACGGUUUAUUAAGUCUGAUGUGAAAGCCCGGAGCUCAACUCCGGAAUGGCAUUGGAAACUGGUUAACUUGAGUGCAGUAGAGGUAAGUGGAACUCCAUGUGUAGCGGUGGAAUGCGUAGAUAUAUGGAAGAACACCAGUGGCGAAGGCGGCUUACUGGACUGCAACUGACGUUGAGGCUCGAAAGUGUGGGUAGCAAACAGGAUUAGAUACCCUGGUAGUCCACACCGUAAACGAUGAACACUAGGUGUUAGGAGGUUUCCGCCUCUUAGUGCCGAAGCUAACGCAUUAAGUGUUCCGCCUGGGGAGUACGACCGCAAGGUUGAAACUCAAAGGAAUUGACGGGGACCCGCACAAGCGGUGGAGCAUGUGGUUUAAUUCGAAGCAACGCGAAGAACCUUACCAGGUCUUGACAUCCUUUGAAGCUUUUAGAGAUAGAAGUGUUCUCUUCGGAGACAAAGUGACGGGGGGGGCAUGGUCGUCGUCAGCUCGUGUCGUGAGAUGUUGGGUUAAGUCCCGC
rnacentral:rRNA from 1 species